CGAGCGGAAGGGACUUGUGCCCCAGAUCAGGCCCGGGUAGCCUGCUUCCCUAUGUACCGAAGUCUCAAGUUCCGCGCGAUUGGAUUGGGGCAGGCACUGUGAUCCACUCACCAGAGGUCUUAGGGUCCCGUGGGGAGUCCCGUGUGGACCCUUGCGGGUGUUGGGCAAGACUCUGCUGGCAAGGUAGCCCGGGGCUCGAGUCGAGCGGAAGAGCAUGUGAAGCAUUCUUAAGCAUUAGGUAAGGUUAGGUGUCAUUUAUCUGAAGGCCAAGCACAAUGAAAUGAUGUUUUGAUGCCUUUAUGAGAAUAAAAAAAUCCAUGUCUCAAACUAAUAUUUAUAGAUUUUGUCAGUUGCAUUUAAUGUGUUAGUGUUAUGAAAUAUAACAUGGCAAGGGAGUACCUUUGGUGGGCUCAUGCAAGGUGUGCCCCUGAGAAAUUAUACCAUGCAACAGACCUGGUAUAAAAUGGAUUUAUUGGGGGAGGGGAGAAGAGUGAGGAACUGGGGAAGGGAUAGAGGCAGACAGACAGAAGAAGCAAAGUCAUUCGGUCAGAAAAAGUAGGGCAGAGAACAGAUAGAGGGGAAGCUGAGAACAAAGACAGAGACAGAGAGCUCAGAAACAAGAACAAUGGGAACAGAGAGAAGGGGCUGGGCCUGGAACAGUGAGAUGGGGCUAAUCAGUUCUUUUAUCCUGCCUCACAGUUAGCAGUCUAGUUUGUUUCAAGAAACAAAUAUACUUUCUGUCAAUGAAUUCUGUAAGUGAACAGGAAAUAUUUUCAUCUCUCAGAGCUGACAGUGUUAAUUUUAUAGUGUUUAUAGGAGAUUUUUUGGGACUAUUUUCUUAAGAACAGUGUAAGCCAGGUAUGUUGUCACAUUCCUGUAUAGCACCUACAUGGAAUGCUGAACCAAAACAUUCUAGACCUUACUAGACAUACAAAAAAAUACUAAGUGCCUGUCUCAAAAAUAAAAUAAAUGAAAUAAAACCAAACCAAUGUGCCUUCUAUAUUUGUAACUUGUACCUUCGGGAACUAAUAAGAUAAUGAAUCAAAAAUAAAUUUCAAUUAUCCUUAUGAAUAAAAAUAAUUAGAAAUGUUAAGAAGGUUAAAAAAAUCACUACAGGGAGGGGGAGGGGUCCUGGGUGGGAAAGCAGACAAGGAGAAGAGGAGAGGAACAUGAUCAGGUAUUGUGGGGGUGGGAAAAAGGACUGAAGCGCUGAGGACUAGCAAAAAGAAUGGAAACAGGCAUCUUUGAUAUGUAGGAGGUUAGAAAACCCUCUAGAAUAUACCACAGACCUGGGAGGUGAGAGAUUCUCAGGACUCAAAGGGAGGGACCUUAGAUGAAAUGCCCUGCAGUGGGGAGAGGG
rnacentral:lncRNA from 1 species